AUUUACAUAAUUUAUAAAGAAUAUCGUGUUGAAGCCACGAAAGAGAUAAAAUUAUCUGUGAAUA
rnacentral:tRNA from 1 species